GUGAGCCACUGCACCAGGCCAGGGGUAAACCCAGUUCACUCAGGCAGAAGCAAGAGGAAGAACAUUCCUCCAGCUCCUCCUCAUGCAGGCCCGAGAGGUGGGAGGGCAUUCUGCCAGCCCAGUAUAUCCACUUUGCUUCGACAAAUGUCAGCCUGCCCAGAAUAAGGAAGUACCCACAGCCGGGAAAGGUAAAUCCAAACCCUGAAAAGACAGAUACUGAGCAUUUGAAAUAACACAGCUUGCAGCGUCCUUGCGGAGCCCUGUUUAUGGGGCAAUAAACCAUUUAAACGACUGUGUGUUGGAACCCACAAGGUCGCCUUGAAAGGCUUUUCACAGACACUGCUAGUAGGGCUCCAGGACGUCUGGAGGGCCAGGAUGGGGUGUCUUUUUGGCUUCUGCUUGAAGCUGCUGGUUCCCCUCCAUCAGGAACGCCAGCCCCUGGAGAGGCUGCCAUGAGGUCUCUCUCCAGAAGAUGAGGAAGGAAUUUGUCUCAGUCCACUUCCACACCUGUCCACCUGAGCUGGGCGUUAGCCUGAGCCUUUGCCUCUGUAUGGAUCCCUGACUUUGAGUUUUAUGCAAUUUCUUGUAUAAAAGGAGAGCCUGAGUCCAUGGAAGUUGGGAUUGAACAUCCUGAAUAUGCAGUUCCUUGGAGAGCCACCAAGAAAAGACCUAAGCAAGAGACAUGAUGUCACCUUCGGGGAGGAGGCUCUUCAAGCUGUUUGGCAUGAGAAGAGGAGGAAUGAGGAGGAUCACUGGCCUUGAACCCCCAAAGAGAGGCUAGAGCACCUUUCUAGGACCCAGUCCAGGGUUUGUCUUGAACAUCCAGCUCCAAAAGAGAUGCUGUGCAGAUUCAAGCUGCCAAGUCCUGAAGGACCUGAGGGAAAACCCAACCCCAAGCAGCCCAGAUGGUAUCUGAGUAUCCUGUGCCCUACCCACGAAGAUCAGGAGCCUAAAGGCUAGAGCUCACUGCAGAACCAGACCAAAGACAGUUUAAGGGCCAUUGAGCCAAGCCUUCCUGACCUCCCAUGGAGAGGGGAAGAGAGAACAGGACCUCCACUUAUCCACCUACCCGCUGCUGAGUCCCUUUAGCCCUUGGCAUGGUAAUUAACGGUCAGGAAGUUAUGCAUCAGCCUCAGCAAGCUAACAUGGCAGGAGAUCCCUCCUGACAGCAGAGCUAAUAAGAAAUUUGCUAAUGCAAUUUAUCACUUUAAAAAGCCAUAUGUCGGUGGGGAUGAGCACUUCUCUGCAGCAGCUAGUGUAAUUGUCAGAACAGAGCAGCGAGCAGCUCUGAGAAGGGGGUGAGGAUGAUGUCUUCACUAAAUCAGUGGUGCAAUGCAGCAGGCGAGGGGGCUGGGAGGAGGGGUGUGGUGCUGGGUGGAGGGCUCCCAGCUCUCAAACUCCCAGGAAGCCAGUGCUGCAGACCUGUUCUGGGGCCCCAUUAAAAACCAGAUUCCCUGAACUCCAGCCCCUGCUGCCUUUGAGCUGCAUGAACCUGCGCUUUGGUUCCUGCCACAGUGUUAAAAAAGAAGCGACUCUGUCUGCAGUAAUGGCUGAUCUAAGUCUCAGCCAUUGAGUGUCAACACACAGGACCCCACUCCAGCUCCUCCUGGGGGCAGGGCUGAUGCCAUGUGCACAUUUGGUCUUUCUCUCCCAGACCCCUGCGAUAACUUCAUCCAGGACAAGGGCCACUGGUCCUUAGUCAGAGGCAGGGAAAGAUUAGAAAUCCACCUCAGGCCCAACAACAUCUCUGCUUUCAGUUUAGACAAAAGGCAAAUUGCUUUGAGUACCCAGUGUUUGCCAAAAUAAAGAGUGGUUUCUGCAAAGGGGAAAAACUGCUGUUGUGGGAUUUUGCUUCAAACACUCAAUUGCAAACCAUUUUUCCCAAAGCAAAUUGAUAGAGAAGCAAGUAAAACAGGUGCCCCUUCUGGGAAUGAAGUCCAGGGCUGCUGGGAAGGCUGUGGGAAGGAAUAAGAAUAUCCACACGGCUGGAUCUCCACUGCUUUCUGGAAUAGUCCCCACUCUCAGUUAUCUGUGGAAUGAGAGGGGCUGGGGAGAGGGAUGAGGUAGGGCAAGCCACCACCACCAACACCCAGAGAAACAUCACACUCAGUUUCCACCAACUAAACUUCCCUCUAAAGCAAAUUUUGACCCUAAUUGUUCUCUGUCCUUUAAAUUAAUGCUUUUUUUUUUUAAGACGGAGUUUCACUCCUGUUGCCCAAGCUAGAGUGCAGUGGCAUGAUCUCGGCUCACUGCAACCUCUGCCUCCUGGGUUCAAGUGAUUCUCCUGCUUUAGCCUCCCAAGUAGCUGGGAUUACAGGUGCCCACCACCACACCCAGCUAAUUUUUUGUAUUUUUAGUAGAGAGGGGGUUUCACCAUCUUGGCCAGGCUGGUCUCGAUCUCCUGACCUCAGGUAAUCCACCUGCCUUGGCCUCCCAAAAUGCUGGGAUUACAGGUGUGAGCCACCACGCCCAGCCUAAAUUAAUGCUUUGAAUUUUGCAUGGAGACACUGAAGGAAGACAAAGUACAAGGACCCAAGUAAUAACCAAUAGAAAGAAGAAAUCCCAUGCCAGGGGCCUGGACAGCCCAAGACGUGUAUAUAAGCUCCACGUUGCCUUCCUGUUUAAGACCUUCUGCUCAGCUCAUACUGAUGGAAAUGGCAUGGGUGGGCAUGGGGGAAGUAUAGCCUCAUGACUCUCCAGCCUUCAGGGUGAUGGGAGAGGACUGGCAACAGGAACCGGUAUGAUUUUUUAAGUGAGUCUUACCUUGCUGGAGCAGAGUUUUAUGGCAACCCCCAAAGACCCCUGUGAAUUGAGGCCCACCUAGGGUCCCAGGAACCCCUUUAUGUGCCCUUUAAAAUAUGCUUUAAUAUCUAAGGUUCUAUCAUUUAAUAUUUAUUUAUUUUUAAAUUUCCCUGAUCCUCCU
rnacentral:lncRNA from 1 species